rfam:Schistosoma haematobium scaffold393_17, whole genome shotgun sequence.
AUUCAGCUGACGAGUCUCAAAUGGGAUGAAACACGUGUCCUGGAU